UACGGGGGGGGCAAGCGUUGUUCGGAAUUACUGGGCGUAAAGGGUGCGUAGGCGGCUUUCUAAGUUGGAUGUGAAAACUCUGGGCUCAACCCAGAGCCUGCAUCCAAAACUGGAGGGCUAGGGUUCUGGAGGGGAAAGCGGAAUUCCUGGUGUAGCGGUGAAAUGCGUAGAUAUCAGGAGGAACACCGGUGGCGAAGGCGGCUUUCUGGACAGAUACCGACGCUGAGGCACGAAAGCUAGGGGAGCAAACAGG
rnacentral:rRNA from 1 species